AGGUGUCUUCAGGGCGGGGGUCGUUUCCCCACUGGUGGUAAAGUCCAUGAAGCUUGAGUAUAGAACUCAGGCCCGAAUCGGUGAAAUUCCGAUACCAACUGUUAAAGUCAGGAUAAAGAGGAGACAAGA
rfam:Lactococcus raffinolactis 4877 genomic scaffold, Scaffold1838